UACGGAGGGUGCGAGCGUUGUCCGGAAUCACUGGGCGUAAAGGGCGCGUAGGCGGCGCGGGGAGUCAACGGUGAAAGCUCGGCGCUCAACGCCGAGUCGGCCGUCGAUACUCCCGUGCUCGAGCACUGUAGAGGCAGGUGGAAUUCCGGGUGUAGCGGUGGAAUGCGUAGAGAUCCGGAAGAACACCGGUGGCGAAGGCGGGCCUGCUGGGCCAGUAGCUGGACGCUGAGGCGCGACAGCGUGGGGGAGCA
rnacentral:rRNA from 1 species